CCUACGGGCGGCAGCAGUGGGGAAUAUUGCACAAUGGGGGGAACCCUGAUGCAGCGACGCCGCGUGAGUGAAGAAGUAUUUCGGUGUGUAAAGCUCUAUCAGCAGGGAAGAAAAUGACGGUACCUGAUUAAGAAGCCCCGGCUAACUACGUGCCAGCAGCCGCGGUAAUACGUAGGGGGCAAGCGUUAUCCGGAUUUACGGGGUGUAAAGGGAGCGUAGACGGCUGGACAAGUCUGGAGUGAAAGGCAGGGGCCCAACCCCCGGACUGCUCUGGAAACUGUAAAGCUAGAGUGCAGGAGAGGUAAGCGGAAUUCCUAGUGUAGCGGUGAAAUGCGUAGAUAUUAGGAGGAACACCAGUGGCGAAGGCGGCUUACUGGACUGCAACUGACGUUGAGGCUCGAAAGCGUGGGGAGCAAACAGGAUUAGAUACCCCAGUAGUC
rnacentral:rRNA from 1 species